UACGGAGGGUGCAAGCGUUGCUCGGAAUCACUGGGCGUAAAGCGUACGCAGGCGGCUCGAUAAGUCGGGUGUGAAAGCCCGGGGCUCAACCCCGGAAUUGCGCCCGAUACUGCCGAGCUUGAGUACGGGAGAGGGAUAGCGGAAUUCCUGGUGUAGAGGUGAAAUUCGUAGAUAUCAGGAGGAACACCAGUGGCGAAAGCGGCUUCCUGGCCCGAUACUGACGCUCAUGUACGAAAGCGUGGGGAGCAAACAGG
rnacentral:rRNA from 1 species